AACGAACGCUGGCGGCAUGCCUAACACAUGCAAGUCGAACGAAGGCCUCGGCCUUAGUGGCGCACGGGUGCGUAACGCGUGGGAAUCUGCCCCUCGGUUCGGAAUAACAGUUAGAAAUGACUGCUAAUACCGGAUGAUGACUUCGGUCCAAAGAUUUAUCGCCGAGGGAUGAGCCCGCGUAAGAUUAGGUAGUUGGUGGGGUAAAGGCCUACCAAGCCGACGAUCUUUAGCUGGUCUGAGAGGAUGAUCAGCCACACUGGGACUGAGACACGGCCCAGACUCCUACGGGAGGCAGCAGUGGGGAAUAUUGGACAAUGGGCGAAAGCCUGAUCCAGCAAUGCCGCGUGAGUGAUGAAGGCCUUAGGGUUGUAAAGCUCUUUUACCAGGGAUGAUAAUGACAGUACCUGGAGAAUAAGCUCCGGCUAACUCCGCGCCAGCCGCCGCGGUAA
rnacentral:rRNA from 1 species